CGUGACUGACGCUGAGGAGCGAAAGGGUGGGGAGCAAACAGGCUUAGAUACCCUGGUAGUCCACCCCGUAAACGUUGGGAACUAGUUGUGGGGGCCUUUCCACGGUCUCCGUGACGCAGCUAACGCAUUAAGUUCCCCGCCUGGGGAGUACGGCCGCAAGGCUAAAACUCAAAGGAAUUGACGGGGACCCGCACAAGCGGCGGAGCAUGCGGAUUAAUUCGAUGCAACGCGAAGAACCUUACCAAGGCUUGACAUACACCGGAAACGUCCAGAGAUGGUCGCCCCUUUUUGGUCGGUGUACAGGUGGUGCAUGGUUGUCGUCAGCUCGUGUCGUGAGAUGUUGGGUUAAGUCCCGCAACGAGCGCAACCCUCGUUCUAUGUUGCCAGCACGUUAUGGUGGGAACUCAUGGGAUACUGCCGGGGUCAACUCGGAGGAAGGUGGGGAUGACGUCAAAUCAUCAUGCCCCUUAUGUCUUGGGCUUCACGCAUGCUACAAUGGCCGGUACAAUGGGCUGCGAUACCGUGAGGUGGAGCGAAUCCCAAAAAGCCGGUCCCAGUUCGGAUCGUAGUCUGCAACUCGACUACGUGAAGUCGGAGUCGCUAGUAAUCGCAGAUCAGCAACGCUGCGGUGAAUACGUUCCCGGGUCUUGUACACAC
rnacentral:rRNA from 1 species